rnacentral:snRNA from 1 species
GAAUGUGAGGGCGAUCUGGCUGCGACAUCUGUCACCCCAUUGAUCGCCAGGGUUGAUUCGGCUGAUCUGGCUGGCUAGGCAGGUGUCCCCUUCCUCCUUCAUCACUCCAUGUGUGUCCCUCCCAAAGCUGCGUGCUCAGUCGGAGAGGACGGCCUUCCCCGAAUAGAGACAGACCGGUCUUUGGUCAGGGGUAUACGAGUAGCUGUGCUCCGCUGCUAGAACCUCCAAACAAGCUCUCGAGGCACCUACAUCUUAAUAAUCUUUGCUUGAAGUUGAUAAUUA